UACGUAGGGUGCAAGCGUUGUCCGGAAUUAUUGGGCGUAAAGGGCUCGCAGGCGGCCGACUAAGUCAGACGUGAAAUCCCUUGGCUUAACCAAGGAAUGGCGUCUGAUACUGGACGGCUUGAAUUCGGGAGAGGGAUGUGGAAUUCCAGGUGUAGCGGUGAAAUGCGUAGAUAUCUGGAGGAACACCGGUGGCGAAGGCGGCAUCCUGGACCGAUAUUGACGCUGAGGAGCGAAAGCCAGGGGAGCAAACGGG
rnacentral:rRNA from 1 species